AAUAGAUACCCCGGUAGUCCACGCCGUAAACGAUGAGUGCUAAGUGUUAGAGGGUUUCCGCCCUUUAGUGCUGCAGCUAACGCAUUAAGCACUCCGCCUGGGGAGUACGGUCGCAAGACUGAAACUCAAAGGAAUUGACGGGGGGCCCGCACAAGCGGUGGAGCAUGUGGUUUAAUUCGAAGCAACGCGAAGAACCUUACCAGGUCUUGACAUCCCACUGACCGGUAUAGAGAUAUACCUUUCCCUUCGGGGACAGUGGUGACAGGUGGUGCAUGGUUGUCGUCAGCUCGUGUCGUGAGAUGUUGGGUUAAGUCCCGCAACGAGCGCAACCCUUGAUCUUAGUUGCCAGCAUUUAGUUGGGCACUCUAAGGUGACUGCCGGUGACAAACCGGAGGAAGGUGGGGAUGACGUCAAAUCAUCAUGCCCCUUAUGACCUGGGCUACACACGUGCUACAAUGGAUGGUACAAAGGGCUGCAAGACUGCGAAGUCAAGCCAAUCCCAUAAAACCAUUCUCAGUUCGGAUUGCAGG
rnacentral:rRNA from 1 species